UGAAAACAGUCAAACUUACUUGUAGGGU
rnacentral:piRNA from 1 species